rnacentral:rRNA from 1 species
GUGAAAAUCAGUUUAAUUUGAUAUUUUUAUAAAUUAUUUUUUUAUUAAUAUAAAUAAAAUAUUUUUUAGUUUUAUUAAUAAGUUAGAAAAAAUUAAUAUAAUUAUAGUUAAUUAGUAUAGUAGUAGAAUUUUAAAAAAAUUUUAUAAGAAAAAUUCAAUUUUUGUACCUUGUGUAUCAGGGUUUAUUAAUUAAAAAAUAUAGAAUUAUUUUUCUCGAUUUUAAAAGAGUUAAUUAUUUAUAUAUUUUAUUGUUAAAUAAAUAUUUAUAAUAAAUAAUUAGUAAUGAAACGUUAGUCGUUUUUAAAUAUAUCUAGUUUUUAAAGAAAAAAAUUUAAUUUUAUUUAUAUUAAUAUUUUUAUUUAAUUUUUAAAUAAAAAUUUUAUAUAAAUUAUAUUAUUUGGGAUAAGCUAAAUAAUAGAUUAUUAUAAAUUAAUAAAAUUUUAUAAAAUUGUAGAAUUAGAAAUUUUCAUCAUUUAGUUUGUUAUAAUUAAUUUAUUUUUAAAUAAAAAUUUAUAUUAAUUUUAAUUUUUUUAUUUAAAUAUUAAGUUUAACUUAUAAAUUUAAGGAAUUAUGAUAAAAUUAGUAUAAUUUAAUGUAAAUAAUAGUUUUUAAUUUUAUGUUAUAUAAAGGAAUUCGGCAAAUUUAUUUUUCGCCUGUUUAUUAAAAACAUGUCUUUUUGAUUUUAAUUUAAAGUCUAACCUGCCCAAUGAGUAUUUUAAUGGCCGCAGUAUUCUGACUGUGCAAAGGUAGCAUAAUCAUUAGUUUCUUAAUUAGAAACUGGAAUGAAUGGUUGGACGAGAAAAUAACUGUCUCUGUAUAAAUUUUUUAGAAUUUUAUUUUUAAGUUAAAAAGCUUAAAUUUAUUUAAAAGACGAGAAGACCCUAUAGAGUUUUAUAUAUUUUUUAAAAAUAAUAUUUUUAGAAUAUAAUUAGUUAUAUUUUUUUAAAAUAAUAUAUUUAAUUGGGGUGAUUAAAAAAUUUAAUAAACUUUUUUUUUAAUAUAACAUUUAUUUAUGAAUUAUUGAUCCAUUAAAAUGAUUAUAAGAUUAAAUUACCUUAGGGAUAACAGCGUAAUUUCUUUGAAGAGUUCAAAUCGAUAAAGGAGUUUGCGACCUCGAUGUUGGAUUAAAAUUUAAUUUUGGUGUAGAAGCUAAAAAAUUUAGGUCUGUUCGACCUUUAAAAUUUUACAUGAUCUGAGUUUAAACCGGUGUGAGCCAGGUUGGUUUCUAUCUUUAAAAAAUUUUAAUAUUUUAGUACGAAAGGACCAAAUAUUAGUAAAAUUUUAUUUUAUUAUGAUUAUUAUUAAUUAAUUGUUAUUUUGGCAGAUUAGUGCAUUAAAUUUAGAAUUUAAUUAUGUAAAUUAUA